UUAAGCGACUAAGCGUACACGGUGGAUGCCCUGGCAGUCAGAGGCGAUGAAGGACGUGCUAAUCUGCGAUAAGCGUCGGUAAGGUGAUAUGAACCGUUAUAACCGGCGAUUUCCGAAUGGGGAAACCCAGUGUGUUUCGACACACUAUCAUUAACUGAAUCCAUAGGUUAAUGAGGCGAACCGGGGGAACUGAAACAUCUAAGUACCCCGAGGAAAAGAAAUCAACCGAGAUUCCCCCAGUAGCGGCGAGCGAACGGGGAGCAGCCCAGAGCCUGAAUCAGUGUGUGUGUUAGUGGAAGCGUCUGGAAAGGCGCGCGAUACAGGGUGACAGCCCCGUACACAAAAAUGCACAUGCUGUGAGCUCGAUGAGUAGGGCGGGACACGUGGUAUCCUGUCUGAAUAUGGGGGGACCAUCCUCCAAGGCUAAAUACUCCUGACUGACCGAUAGUGAACCAGUACCGUGAGGGAAAGGCGAAAAGAACCCCGGCGAGGGGAGUGAAAAAGAACCUGAAACCGUGUACGUACAAGCAGUGGGAGCACAGAGCAAUCUGUGUGACUGCGUACCUUUUGUAUAAUGGGUCAGCGACUUAUAUUCUGUAGCAAGGUUAACCGAAUAGGGGAGCCGAAGGGAAACCGAGUCUUAACUGGGCGUUAAGUUGCAGGGUAUAGACCCGAAACCCGGUGAUCUAGCCAUGGGCAGGUUGAAGGUUGGGUAACACUAACUGGAGGACCGAACCGACUAAUGUUGAAAAAUUAGCGGAUGACUUGUGGCUGGGGGUGAAAGGCCAAUCAAACCGGGAGAUAGCUGGUUCUCCCCGAAAGCUAUUUAGGUAGCGCCUCGUGAAUUCAUCUCCGGGGGUAGAGCACUGUUUCGGCAAGGGGGUCAUCCCGACUUACCAACCCGAUGCAAACUGCGAAUACCGGAGAAUGUUAUCACGGGAGACACACGGCGGGUGCUAACGUCCGUCGUGAAGAGGGAAACAACCCAGACCGCCAGCUAAGGUCCCAAAGUCAUGGUUAAGUGGGAAACGAUGUGGGAAGGCCCAGACAGCCAGGAUGUUGGCUUAGAAGCAGCCAUCAUUUAAAGAAAGCGUAAUAGCUCACUGGUCGAGUCGGCCUGCGCGGAAGAUGUAACGGGGCUAAACCAUGCACCGAAGCUGCGGCAGCGACGCUUAUGCGUUGUUGGGUAGGGGAGCGUUCUGUAAGCCUGUGAAGGUGUGCUGUGAGGCAUGCUGGAGGUAUCAGAAGUGCGAAUGCUGACAUAAGUAACGAUAAAGCGGGUGAAAAGCCCGCUCGCCGGAAGACCAAGGGUUCCUGUCCAACGUUAAUCGGGGCAGGGUGAGUCGACCCCUAAGGCGAGGCCGAAAGGCGUAGUCGAUGGGAAACAGGUUAAUAUUCCUGUACUUGGUGUUACUGCGAAGGGGGGACGGAGAAGGCUAUGUUGGCCGGGCGACGGUUGUCCCGGUUUAAGCGUGUAGGCUGGUUUUCCAGGCAAAUCCGGAAAAUCAAGGCUGAGGCGUGAUGACGAGGCACUACGGUGCUGAAGCAACAAAUGCCCUGCUUCCAGGAAAAGCCUCUAAGCAUCAGGUAACAUCAAAUCGUACCCCAAACCGACACAGGUGGUCAGGUAGAGAAUACCAAGGCGCUUGAGAGAACUCGGGUGAAGGAACUAGGCAAAAUGGUGCCGUAACUUCGGGAGAAGGCACGCUGAUAUGUAGGUGAAGUCCCUUGCGGAUGGAGCUGAAAUCAGUCGAAGAUACCAGCUGGCUGCAACUGUUUAUUAAAAACACAGCACUGUGCAAACACGAAAGUGGACGUAUACGGUGUGACGCCUGCCCGGUGCCGGAAGGUUAAUUGAUGGGGUCAGCGCAAGCGAAGCUCUUGAUCGAAGCCCCGGUAAACGGCGGCCGUAACUAUAACGGUCCUAAGGUAGCGAAAUUCCUUGUCGGGUAAGUUCCGACCUGCACGAAUGGCGUAAUGAUGGCCAGGCUGUCUCCACCCGAGACUCAGUGAAAUUGAACUCGCUGUGAAGAUGCAGUGUACCCGCGGCAAGACGGAAAGACCCCGUGAACCUUUACUAUAGCUUGACACUGAACAUUGAGCCUUGAUGUGUAGGAUAGGUGGGAGGCUUUGAAGUGUGGACGCCAGUCUGCAUGGAGCCGACCUUGAAAUACCACCCUUUAAUGUUUGAUGUUCUAACGUUGACCCGUAAUCCGGGUUGCGGACAGUGUCUGGUGGGUAGUUUGACUGGGGCGGUCUCCUCCUAAAGAGUAACGGAGGAGCACGAAGGUUGGCUAAUCCUGGUCGGACAUCAGGAGGUUAGUGCAAUGGCAUAAGCCAGCUUGACUGCGAGCGUGACGGCGCGAGCAGGUGCGAAAGCAGGUCAUAGUGAUCCGGUGGUUCUGAAUGGAAGGGCCAUCGCUCAACGGAUAAAAGGUACUCCGGGGAUAACAGGCUGAUACCGCCCAAGAGUUCAUAUCGACGGCGGUGUUUGGCACCUCGAUGUCGGCUCAUCACAUCCUGGGGCUGAAGUAGGUCCCAAGGGUAUGGCUGUUCGCCAUUUAAAGUGGUACGCGAGCUGGGUUUAGAACGUCGUGAGACAGUUCGGUCCCUAUCUGCCGUGGGCGCUGGAGAAUUGAGGGGGGCUGCUCCUAGUACGAGAGGACCGGAGUGGACGCAUCACUGGUGUUCGGGUUGUCAUGCCAAUGGCACUGCCCGGUAGCUAAAUGCGGAAGAGAUAAGUGCUGAAAGCAUCUAAGCACGAAACUUGCCCCGAGAUGAGUUCUCCCUGACUCCUUGAGAGUCCUGAAGGAACGUUGAAGACGACGACGUUGAUAGGCCGGGUGUGUAAGCGCAGCGAUGCGUUGAGCUAACCGGUACUAAUGAACCGUGAGGCUUAACCU
rnacentral:rRNA from 1 species